CAGGCCUAACACAUGCAAGUCGAACGCCCCGCAAGGGGAGUGGCAGACGGGUGAGUAACACGUGGGAACGUACCCUUUGGUUCGGAACAACCCUGGGAAACUAGGGCUAAUACCGGAUACGCGCGAGAGCGGAAAGGUUUACCGCCGAAGGAUCGGCCCGCGUCUGAUUAGCUAGUUGGUGAGGUAACGGCUCACCAAGGCGACGAUCAGUAGCUGGUCUGAGAGGAUGAUCAGCCACAUUGGGACUGAGACACGGCCCAAACUCCUACGGGAGGCAGCAGUGGGGAAUAUUGGACAAUGGGCGCAAGCCUGAUCCAGCCAUGCCGCGUGAGUGAUGACGGCCCUAGGGUUGUAAAGCUCUUUUACCUGGGAAGAUAAUGACGGUAUCAGGAGAAUAAGCCCCGGCUAACUUCGUGCCAGCAGCCGCGGUAAU
rnacentral:rRNA from 1 species